GGGCGAUUAGCUCAUUUGGCUAGAGCGCCACAUUGACGUUGUGGAGGUGGGAGGUUCGAAUCCUCCAUCGCCCACCA
rnacentral:tRNA from 1 species